CCGCGCAGCUGGGGAGUUAGCGGUGCCCUGUACCUGCAAUCCGCUACAGCAGGAGUGAUGGCUGGCUUAGGGUUGUUACUUGUAGGGCAGCCCCUGAUAAGUGGCGUUGAUGUUUGGGUCUUGCGCGACAGGAGCCUAUGAACCGUGUCAGGUCGGGAACGGAGCAGCACUAAGUAGGAAGUCUUGUGCGCCGCAAGGGUGCCUGGGCUGAGUUAACUGUCAGGGUAACGUCUAUGAUUAUUUCACGAAGCCGGUCGCGCGG
rnacentral:SRP_RNA from 1 species